GAUGAACGCUGGCGGCGUGCCUAAUACAUGCAAGUCGAGCGAACAGACGAGGAGCUUGCUCCUCUGACGUUAGCGGCGGAAGGGUGAGUAACACGUGGAUAACCUACCUAUAAGACUGGGAUAACUUCGGGAAACCGGAGCUAAUACCGGAUAAUAUAUUGAACCGCAGGGUUCAAUAGUGAAAGACGGUUUGGCUGUCACUUAUAGAUGGAUCCGCGCCGCAUUAGCUAGUUGGUAAGGUAACGGCUUACCAAGGCAACGAUGCGUAGCCGACCUGAGAGGGUGAUCGGCCACACUGGAACUGAGACGCGGUCCAGGCUCCUACGGGAGGCAGCAGUAGGGAAUCUUCCGCAAUGGGCGGAAGCCUGCCGGAGCAACGCCGCGUGAGUGAUGAAGGUCUUCGGAUCGUAAAACUCUGUUAUUAGGGAAGAACAAAUGUGUAAGUAACUAUGCACGUCUUGACGGUACCUGAUCAGAAAGCCACGGCUAACUACGUG
rnacentral:rRNA from 1 species